AUUGAACGCUGGCGGCAGGCCUAACACAUGCAAGUCGAGCGAGCGGCGGACGGGUGAGUAAUGUCUGGGAAACUGCCUGAUGGAGGGGGAUAACUACUGGAAACGGUAGCUAAUACCGCAUACCAUCAGAUGUGCCCAGAUGGGAUUAGCUAAUGGGUGGGGUAAGGGCUCACCUAGGCGACGUUCCCUAGCUGGUCUGAGAGGAUGACCAGACACACGGGAACUGAGACACGGUCCAGACUCAGACGGGAGGCAGCAGUGGGGAAUAUUGCACAAUGGGCGCAAGCCUGAUGCAGCCAUGCCGCGUGUGUGAAGAAGGCCUUCGGGUUGUAAAGCACUUUCAGCGGGGAGGCGUUACCCGCAGAAGAAGCACCGGCUAACUCCGUGCCAGCAGCCGCGGUAAUAC
rnacentral:rRNA from 1 species